rnacentral:tRNA from 1 species
AGUAGUGAAGUAAUAAUUACACUUAGCUUCGACCUAAGGAUAAGAGUAGUAACUCCUUACUU